AUUGAACGCUGGCGGAAUGCUUUACACAUGCAAGUCGAACGGUAGAGGGGGCAACCCCUCGAGAGUGGCGAACGGGUGAGUAAUAUAUCGGAACGUGCCCAGUCGUGGGGGAUAACGUAGCGAAAGUUACGCUAAUACCGCAUACGAUCUACGGAUGAAAGCGGGGGACCGUAAGGCCUCGCGCGAUUGGAGCGGCCGAUAUCAGAUUAGGUAGUUGGUGGGGUAAAGGCUCACCAAGCCAACGAUCUGUAGCUGGUCUGAGAGGACGACCAGCCACACUGGAACUGAGACACGGUCCAGACUCCUACGGGAGGCAGCAGUGGGGAAUUUUGGACAAUGGACGCAAGUCUGAUCCAGCCAUUCCGCGUGCAGGAUGAAGGCCCUCGGGUUGUAAAACUGCUUUUGUACGGAACGAAAAAGGUACUCUCUUAAUACGGGGGGCGUCAUGACGGUACCGUAAGAAUAAAGCAACCGGCUAACUAACGUG
rnacentral:rRNA from 1 species